AACGAACGCUGGCGGCAUGCCUAACACAUGCAAGUCGAACGAAGUCUUCGGACUUAGUGGCGCACGGGUGCGUAACGCGUGGGAAUCUGCCCUUGGGUGCGGAAUAACUUCUCGAAAGGGAUGCUAAUACCGCAUAAUGUCGUAAGACCAAAGAUUUAUCGCCCAAGGAUGAGCCCGCGUAAGAUUAGCUAGUUGGUGGGGUAAAAGCCUACCAAGGCGACGAUCUUUAGCUGGUCUGAGAGGAUGAUCAGCCACACUGGGACUGAGACACGGCCCAGACUCCUACGGAGGCAGCAGUGGGGAAUAUUGGACAAU
rnacentral:rRNA from 1 species